rnacentral:rRNA from 1 species
CUCAUUCCGCAGGCUACACAUGCAAGUCGAGCGGCAGCGGAAAGUAGCUUGCUACUUUGCCGGCGAGCGGCGGACGGGUGAGUAAUGUCUGGGAAACUGCCUGAUGGAGGGGGAUAACUACUGGAAACGGUAGCUAAUACCGCAUAACGUCGCAAGACCAAAGAGGGGGACCUUCGGGCCUCUUGCCAUCAGAUGUGCCCAGAUGGGAUUAGCUAGUAGGUGGGGUAACGGCUCACCUAGGCGACGAUCCCUAGCUGGUCUGAGAGGAUGACCAGCCACACUGGAACUGAGACACGGUCCAGACUCCUACGGGAGGCAGCAGUGGGGAAUAUUGCACAAUGGGCGCAAGCCUGAUGCAGCCAUGCCGCGUGUAUGAAGAAGGCCUUCGGGUUGUAAAGUACUUUCAGCGGGGAGGAAGGUGCUGAGGUUAAUAACCUCAGCAAUUGACGUUACCCGCAGAAGAAGCACCGGCUAACUCCGUGCCAGCAGCCGCGGUAAUACGGAGGGUGCAAGCGUUAAUCGGAAUUACUGGGCGUAAAGCGCACGCAGGCGGUCUGUCAAGUCGGAUGUGAAAUCCCCGGGCUCAACCUGGGAACUGCAUUCGAAACUGGCAGGCUAGAGUCUUGUAGAGGGGGGUAGAAUUCCAGGUGUAGCGGUGAAAUGCGUAGAGAUCUGGAGGAAUACCGGUGGCGAAGGCGACCCCCUGGACGAAGACUGACGAUCAGGUGCGAAAGCGCUGGGGAGCAGACAGGAUUAGAUACCGUGAUAGCCCGCGCCAUAAACUAUGUCGACUUGCACGUGGUGGCCUUGAGGCGGGCUACGGGAGCUAACGCGUUUAGUCGACUGCCUGUAGAGUUCAGCCGCAAAGGUAUAAUCUGUGAACUCACAAGGUGAAGCUCAAGCGAUGUAGCAUGUGGCUUAAUAGCAGCUUCACAAGGAACCUUACCAUACUCAUGCACAUCAAGAAAGCUUAACAUAGAAUGAGAUGAGUGCUCUAGUAGGCCUUUGACGAUCAGAGGGACUCCCGAGCUACCCCGCCUGCUAGGGAUUCGGUAUUGUCUGUGAUUAACGAC